rnacentral:rRNA from 1 species
AUUGAACGCUGGCGGCAGGCUUAACACAUGCAAGUCGAGCGGGGGAAGGUAGCUUGCUACCGGACCUAGCGGCGGACGGGUGAGUAAUGCUUAGGAAUCUGCCUAUUAGUGGGGGACAACAUCUCGAAAGGGAUGCUAAUACCGCAUACGUCCUACGGGAGAAAGCAGGGGAUCUUCGGACCUUGCGCUAAUAGAUGAGCCUAAGUCGGAUUAGCUAGUGGGUGGGGUAAAGGCCUACCAAGGCGACGAUCUGUAGCGGGUCUGAGAGGAUGAGCCGGCACACUGGGAAUGAGACACGGCCCAGACUCCUACGAGAGGCAGCAGUGGGUAAUAUUGGACAAUGGGGGGAACCCGGAUCCAGCCAUGCCGCGUGUGUGAAGAAGGCCUUAUGGUUGUAAAGCACUUUAAGCGAGGAGGAGGCUACUUUAGUUAAGACCUAGAGAUAGUGGACGUUACUCGCAGAAUAAGCACCGGCUAACUCUGUGCCAGCCGCCGCGGUAA